rnacentral:misc_RNA from 1 species
UGAUUCUUUUGGAAAAAGCUGUCUUGAGAUGAAAAGGAUUCAUCAUUUAUACUGAGAGGCCCAUUCACCUCGUCAGUGCACUGAGGACAAAAUGAGAGAUUAUUUUCUUCAACUACGCCAUCUAAAAAUUUCAACUUUCCCUGAGUUUCUUUGCGUUUGAAGUCAUCAAGAUCACUGAAAAUUAAUUCUUCUUCUGAACUCUCAGAUACUGG